CUUAGGCAAGUACUCUACCGUAGAGCUACACGCAGCCCUACGUCCUUUCCUUUCCUGCUUCUUUCCUUCUUACCGCCUCCCCAUCUCCCAUCUCCAAGCAACCUCAGCCUUACCCUUCUCUCCAACCUCCUUGGCGUGGCCCACCACCUCGCUCACCACCUCUUCCACUGCGUGAACUGGAAAGAGAGGACAAAUUCAGAGUGAAGGUAUAGAGGGACAUAAGAUCCCUGUCUCCUGGAGCCGUGGCUGUGGAAGAGUCAAGGGACAGAAGCUGCCGCCAUCAUCUGAGAAACAUGGCCACUUCUAAACCAUCCACAAUGGGGAAGCUGAGAAAACAGCUACCUCUUCAGUUUCCAGCCAACAUCUUUCUCUGACUGGUCCCAGUCAGGCUAAGAGCUGGGAGCCCAGAAUUGUGUGGGACAACAAAAGAAAGAAAAUAAAGACAGUGGUAUCAAGCUUAAUCUCAGAGUUGGUAUGGCUGCUGUGAAAAGCAUCAUGGUGAUUCAUUGAAAUCCUGAAACCAGGAAGAUAUAAUCCCGGUUCCUUCUGCUGCAGACCCGAUGGAAAUGGAAGGGAUGUCUUAAAGGAAUACCCAUACCCCUAUGCUCUCUACAGCAUUAGCCACAAUAGUCAAGAUUUGGAAACAGCCAGAUGUCCAUCAAUGAAGGGUGACUUAGCUGGGUGUGAUGUUUGCAGUCCCGAACUUGGGAAGCAGAAGCAGGAAUAUCAGGAGUUCAAAGUCAGCCUCAG